CGGAGGAGGUGUGGGUAGCUACAGGCCACCUUGCUAUCUCCCCAAGAGAUGAGGUGUGUGGGCUAGGCACCGGGCAGGAGUGCUGGCCAGAAGCAAGCAUCUCUGUGGAGGAAGGCAAAGGGCGGAGGAGGUUCAAGGGUAGCUACCGGGCAUGGCCUUGCUCAGCAAGGGGAGGAAAAGCCUGAAGGGCACGAGAAGGGGACAGAGAAGGGCAGGCAGUAGGCGUGAAGCUGUGAGCAGAGUAGAGAGCAACUUGGCAGAGCAGCAAGCAGAGUAGGCAAGUGCUGAGGUUUGGCGUGAGUAGCAGCAAAAGCCCAUAGCAUCAAGAAGCAGGAAGUGAGGAGAAGGAAUGGAGGAAUCUGGCCAGAGCUGUGCCCCUGCUUGCCACAGGAGCUGCGCGGGAGGAGAAGAAUGUGGGCCAAAAGGUAAGAGGAGCUCCUUUGGGUUCUGGGCUUGAAGCAAAGCUGAGAAGCCAUGCCCGGGAGGAGGUGUGGGUAGCUACAGGCCACCUUGCUAUCUCCCCAAGAGAUGAGGUGUGUGGGCUAGGCACCGGGCAGGAGUGCUGGCCAGAAGCAAGCAUCUCUGUGGAGGAAGGCAAAGGGCGGAGGAGGUUCAAGGGUAGCUACCGGGCAUGGCCUUGCUCAGCAAGGGGAGGAAAAGCCUGAAGGGCACGAGAAGGGGACAGAGAAGGGCAGGCAGUAGGCGUGAAGCUGUGAGCAGAGUAGAGAGCAACUUGGCAGAGCAGCAAGCAGAGUAGGCAAGUGCUGAGGUUUGGCGUGAGUAGCAGCAAAAGCCCAUAGCAUCAAGAAGCAGGAAGUGAGGAGAAGGUAAGUGAAGGGCAGGCAAGGUAAUGGGAGGCAAGGCAAGGGGAAAGGGGAGGGUAAGGGAGAAAGAGGGGAUGGGGAGGGGAGGGGAUGGGUGAAGAGCAGAGCGGAGGGAAGGGCUGAGGGGAGGGCUGAAGGCAAACCAAUGAUGAAAAAAGAAAAGAAAAAAAAACACAAAAAAUAUGAAAUAAGAGAAAAAAGAAAAGAAAAAUAAGAAAAAGAGAAAAAAGAAAAGAAAAAAAAUGAACAAAAAAGACAAAAAAAGAAAAAAGAAAAAAAUGAACAAAAAAGAGAAAAAAGAGAAAAGAAAAAAAUGAACAAA
rnacentral:lncRNA from 7 species